UGGCUGAGGCGAUGUUAGCAACCUCAAAGCGUCCAUCUUUCCCCAGCAACGGGAGACGGUUGAAAAGAAAGAAGGUUAUCGAACUAAACGAGUUUUCGUCAACAAUAUUGCCACGUAUUCAUCUAAAUGUAAAGCAAAGUUUCUGUCAAAUGAGGAUGGUCCCCCUGCCGGCUGCGGAUGAGCCUACACUGCAAGAUGGGACUUUCCAAAUUGUUGGAAUUAUCUUUAACAACGAGGGGAGAAUCCCCAGUUUUGCAUUAGAAUGUUAUUCUAAUGACCCAGAGAUUCCUCUGACAGUGGAUAACUACAGGAGGAAAAUACAUCAUCCUAACUUCAAGUAGCACAGAAAAUGGUGCUCAAACUGGGCAAAACUGAGUAUAAUGGGCUGGGCAAAUGCUCCUUGAUGUAAGGAUGAUGUGGUGGCAGGUGCUGAAUAUGGAUUGGGAGAGAACCUCCUGGACUACUUCUUCAAGGAGGAUGCUGUGAAAGGGGCUAAGCAGGAGGGAGAGUCGGUCAGUAACGCUCAGGUCCAACUGGACUCGCUAAAGGACAGCAAGGAGCAAAAUGAAGGUAGCCUGGGCGACGGGCUUGUUUACCGUAUCAUGCGUGAUAAGCUGAUCUCAAAGCCGUGCAGGAACCAAGGCUUCGACCCUGACUGCUUCCCCAAGUCCUACCAUCAGGCCAAGGAGAUUUUCUAUGAGGAUGACAUGGAACUGGAUUAUUCCAGUUCCAAAAUGCAUGCCUACAACAAGAUAAUUCCAGAGUUUAUUUUCUCCCUGGAGGCAUCUGAUGACUUCUUAAAGGAGCGGGUGCGGAACUCACCUGGGGGUGUGGCAGAGAAGACUCGCUACUCUCUGCCACCUUAGCCGGCUGAGGAAAUAUAGAAAGGCCAAUGUGGAAGAUGAAACGGUUCUGAACUACUUUGAUGUGCUGGAGGUUCACCCAGAACACAUUGGUAAGGCUGGAAUAGAAUACGGAUUUAGUGAAAGCAUUUAGAAACCCCAAUAUUCAACCUAAUUAUCAGAACUAGUGUGUAGUAAAUAGUGAUUGAACAGAACUUAACGCAUUGAGAGGAAGUCUUUCAUUGUCUGUCUGUCGGAGGUGAACGAUGCGGUGCUGUGACGGAGAACAUCAUCAGGCUGGUGGGGCGUCCCCUGAACUACGGACCCACCCCUGAGGAGAGAGAGGCGAUGGAGAGGAAGGUUGCGGAGGAGAGCGCCUGGUACUGGAGACCGCAGAGUGAAAGAGGAGGGAGGCUGAGACCGCGGCCAAGAUGGCCGCACAGCUAGAGAGGUGGGUAAGAGAUGGGCUGCAUCAGAAGUAGUAUACUAUAAUGGGAAUAGGGUGCCAUUUCAGGAAACAUCUCUCACAUUACUCAUUGAGAUUGAUUCCAUUUUAGAAUCCUUAUUAGACCAAGGGCCACCCACCAAAAAUGUGUUGUUCCGUGACCCAGAAAACGGAACUGCUAAAUUUCAGCAACACUAUGUAGCUAACAUUAUGAGCAUGAAUACUGUGUGAUUCAAAACUUGUAAAAGUUGCACAUAUGUUUUUUUCUCUUUAAUCAAAGUUAUGAUAUUUUGCAUCCAAUCACAGCGCGUCUUAGGUAAUUUCCCUAGCAACGCUGCUAUGUUUCACCUUGGUUACUUUUGUUGCACACUGGUGCACAGAACUAUUUGUGUGUACGGUGUUCGUCCUUGCAUCAGCUCAAGCGACACAUGUUGCAUUCACUGAUCCAGAUUUAGCCCGAAACUAGGAAAUAUGUUUUAUCCAUGUACAGUGGCUUUCUCAGUUAAUGUAGGAUGUUUUGGCAGCUGUAUGUAGUCUACAAGAGCCAUCAUUGCUCUUGCCUGCUAACCAAACUAAAGACAACACAAUGUUUGCGAGCUAACACAGCUCUCAAAACAACUAAGGUCCCGACAGCUAAAUAAUGCGCUGUUCUGGCAUCUGAGAAAAUCUAUUUAGCAUGUUUCAAACGCUUAUCUCGUAUUAUUUGGGGAUUCCUCCGGUCUGUUAAAUGCAUUGCUUUCUGCAAGCAUGGACAACUGAACGUGUGUAAGAAUUGUAACCAAGAUGUAACAUGACAACUUCAUAAUGUUGCUAGUGGAAAUUACCCAAAAUGCGCUAUGAUUCCGAAAACAACCGGGUGGUGAUUCUAUAAUAUUUAUUAAUCUGCAACUUUUACAAGUUUUAAACCACAGUGUUCAUAUUCGUAAAAUGAUCUACGUAAUGGUUUUGCAGUUUUGUUUCCUGGGUCACAGAACGCCUUUUCUGAAGCCUUUUUUUAAUGGGUAGCCCUUGGAAUAUAUAGGCUCAUCUCCACAUUGCGUACUUCUAUCCAGUCCUCUCAGAUCUGUGAACUCUUAAAACCACUCUCUGUAUACAAUCGAAGAGUGGGCCACCAGCAACAAUGUAAACCAUGGAGCUGUAGUGUUUUGUUUUAGCCGAGUUGUUUAUACGUGUAUGUGUGUCUUUAUCACCGUCACAUGACUGAGGUGAAGAGGCAUGAGCUGCUGGAGGCUCGCUUCAUCCCCCUGAGGAACUACCUGAUGAAGUACAUGAUGCCCUCUCUCACUGAGGGCACGAUGGAGUGCUGCAAGGCCAAGCCAGAUGACCCUGUAGACUUCCUGCUCGUUCCAGUCGCUAGCUGCAGCGAACUGUAAAU